rnacentral:rRNA from 1 species
CCUACGGGAGGCAGCAGUGAGGAAUAUUGGUCAAUGGACGAGAGUCUGAACCAGCCAAGUAGCGUGAAGGAUGACUGCCCUAUGGGUUGUAAACUUCUUUUAUAUGGGAAUAAAAUGUUCCACGUGUGGGAUUCUGUAUGUACCAUAUGAAUAAGGAUCGGCUAACUCCGUGCCAGCAGCCGCGGUAAUACGGAGGAUCCGAGCGUUAUCCGGAUUUAUUGGGUUUAAAGGGAGCGUAGGUGGGUUGUUAAGUCAGUUGUGAAAGUUUGCGGCUCAACCGUAAAAUUGCAAUUGAUACUGGCAGUCUUGAGUACAGGUGAGGUAGGCGGAAUUCGUGGUGUAGCGGUGAAAUGCUUAGAUAUCACGAAGAACCCCGAUUGCGAAGGCAGCUUACUAAACUGUGACUGACGUUGAGGCUCGAAAGUGUGGGUAGCAAACAGGAUUAGAUACCCGGGUAGUC